ACGCCUAAUACAUGCAAGUCGAACGGAGUAGCAAUACUUAGUGGCAGACGGGUGAGUAACAUGUGGGUAUCUUCCCUUUGGUGAGGAAUAACACGAGGAAACUUGUGCUAAUACCUCAUAAGUCUUUACGGAGAAAGCUUUAUGCGCCAAUGGAUGAGCCCGCACUUGAUUAGUUUGUUGGUGGGGUAAUGGCCUACCAAGACUGUGAUCAAUAGCUGAUUUGAGAGGAUGAUCAGCCACAUUGGGACUGAGACACGGCCCAAACUCCUACGGGAGGCAGCAGUAGGGAAUCUUGCACAAUGGAGGAAACUCUGAUGCAGCGAUGCCGCGUGAGUGAAGAAGGCCCUUGGGUUGUAAAGCUCUUUCGUCGGGGAAGAAAAUGACUGUACCCGAAUAAGAAGGUCCGGCUAACUUCGUGCCAGCAGCCGCGGUAAUACGAAGGGACCUAGCGUAGUUCGGAAUUACUGGGCUUAAAGAGUUCGUAGGUGGUUAAAAAAGUUGGUGGUGAAAGCCCAGAGCUUAACUCUGGAACUGCCAUCAAAACUUUUUAGCUAGAGUUUGAUAGAGGAAAGCAGAAUUUCUAGUGUAGAGGUGAAAUUCGUAGAUAUUAGAAAGAAUACCAAUUGCGAAGGCAGCUUUCUGGAUCAUUACUGACACUGAGGAACGAAAGCAUGGGUAGCGAAGAGGAUUAGAUACCCUCGUAGUCCAUGCCGUAAACGAUGUGUGUUAGAUGUUGGAAAUUUAUUUUCAGUAUCACAGCGAAAGCAAUAAACACACCGCCUGGGGAGU
rnacentral:rRNA from 1 species